rnacentral:tRNA from 1 species
GUACUUUGGUGUAAAGGUUUGCAUAUCAGGCUCAUAACCCGAUGGAUCAGGUUCAAUUCCUGGAAUGUACU